rnacentral:rRNA from 1 species
UACGUAGGGUGCAAGCGUUGUCCGGAAUUAUUGGGCGUAAAGAGCUCGUAGGCGGUCUGUCGCGUCUGCUGUGAAAACUCAGGGCUUAACCCUGAGCUUGCAGUGGGUACGGGCAGACUAGAGUGCGGUAGGGGAGACUGGAAUUCCCAGUGUAGCGGUGAAAUGCGUAGAUAUUGGGAGGAACACCAGUGGCGAAGGCGGCUCACUGGACCGGAACUGACGCUGAGGCGCGAAAGCGUGGGGAGCAAACAGG